GGAAUAUUGGACAAUGGGGGAAACCCUGAUCCAGCAACACCGCGUGGAGGAAGAAGGUCUUCGGAUCGUAAACUCCUGUCAGGUAGGACGAAGGUACGUUGGCGAAUAGUCAGCGUGCUUGACGGUACUACCAGAGGAAGCCCCGGCUGACUCCGUGCCAACAGCCGCGGUAAUACGGAGGGGGCGAGCGUUAUUCGGAAUGAUUGGGCGUAAAGGGCGUGUAGGCGGCUUUGCAUGUCAAAGGUGAAAUCCCUCGGCUCAACCGAGGAACUGCCUUUGAAACUGCAUUGCUUGAGGCCGGGAGGGGCCAGUGGAAUUCCCAGUGUAGCGGUGAAAUGCGUAGAUAUUGGGAGGAACACCAGUGGCGAAGGCGACUGGCUGGACCGGUUCUGACGCUGAUACGCGAAAGCGUGGGGAGCAAAC
rnacentral:rRNA from 1 species